AUACAGAGGGUGCAAGCGUUAAUCGGAAUUACUGGGCGUAAAGCGCGCGUAGGUGGUUCGUUAAGUUGGAUGUGAAAUCCCCCGGGCUCAACCUGGGAACUGCAUCCAAAACUGGCGAGCUAGAGUAGGGCAGAGGGUGGUGGAAUUUCCUGUGUAGCGGUGAAAUGCGUAGAUAUAGGAAGGAACACCAGUGGCGAAGGCGACCACCUGGGCUCAUACUGACACUGAGGUGCGAAAGCGUGGGGAGC
rnacentral:rRNA from 1 species